GACGAACGCUGGCGGCGUGCUUAACACAUGCAAGUCGAACGAAGAGCGACGGAAGCUUGCUUCUAUCACUCUUAGUGGCGAACGGGUGAGUAACGCGUAAUCAACCUGCCCUUCAGAGGGGGACAACAGUUGGAAACGACUGCUAAUACCGCAUACGAUCUAAUCUCGGCAUCGAGGAUGGAUGAAAGGUGGCCUCUACAUGUAAGCUAUCACUGAAGGAGGGGAUUGCGUCUGAUUAGCUAGUUGGAGGGGUAACGGCCCACCAAGGCGAUGAUCAGUAGCCGGUCUGAGAGGAUGAACGGCCACAUUGGGACUGAGACACGGCCCAGACUCCUACGGGAGGCAGCAGUGGGGAAGCUUACGCAAUGGACGAAAGUCUGACGGAGCAACGCCGCGUGAGUGAUGACGGCCUUCGGGUUGUAAAGCUCUGUUAAUCGGGACGAAAGGCCUUCUUGCGAAUAGUGAGAAGGAUUGACGGUACCGGAAUAGAAAGCCACGGCUAACUACGUG
rnacentral:rRNA from 1 species